UACGUAGGUGGCAAGCGUUGUCCGGAUUUACUGGGCGUAAAGGGCGUGCAGGCGGUUUGUUAAGUGCAGGGUGAAAGCUCCCGGCUCAACUGGGAGAGGUCCUUGCAUACUGGCGAACUCGAGGGAGGCAGAGGAAAGUGGAAUUCCCGGUGUAGUGGUGAUAUGCGUAGAUAUCGGGAGGAACACCGGUGGCGAAGGCGGGUCUCUGGGCAGUAACUGACGCUGAGGAGCGAAAGCGUGGGGAGCGAACAGG
rnacentral:rRNA from 1 species